UACGUAGGGUCCGAGCGUUGUCCGGAUUUACUGGGCGUAAAGGGCGCGCAGGCGGCGGUGCUGGCCCGGCGUGAAAGCCCCCGGCUCAACCGGGGAGGGUCGUCGGGGACCGCACCGCUUGAGGGCGGUAGGGGCUGGUGGAAUGCCUGGUGUAGUGGUGAAAUGCGUAGAGAUCAGGCGGAACACCAGUGGCGAAGGCGGCUUUCUGGUCUGCUCUUGACGCUGAGGCGCGAAAGCUAGGGUAGCAAACGGG
rnacentral:rRNA from 1 species